ACGUCUCUUAGUAUACGUUUCAUUAGCCCAUAUUUGGUAUUUCCAUUUUUGCGUGUUCUUGCUUUUCCUCGUUUACUUCCGAUAGCUAUAAAGGAUUUGCACCCCACGUUUUGGGUGGUUAUUGACUCGCCUUGCAUUGCGCUGUGUUGGGGCAGUUUUCUAUCGUUUACAUGCAGUUUUUGGCCUGGUAGUUUCUACAUGCUGUGUUUGGCCGUCGUGCAAAAUUUUUAUGGCUACGAGGACUAAUAGAUUGUUUCCAACGACACCAAGUCAUCGAUGCCAUGUGUUCCAAAAUUCUGGCAUCUUUUGGACGAACUGAUCAGGAAGAUUGAAAAAAUUGUUUAAUGAAGAUAAACAUGGUCGCUUAAGCAACGAACACGUGUUGCAGUAUCUCUGGAAAAACUUUAGGUUUUGCUUUGAAAAUCAAUCCUAUACAGGAUGAACCGUAGAUUAUACGAAUUGCAGGAUCUACCUGAGAGUGAAUUAACCAGACUGUCAGUGAAAGAACUGGUGACGACUACGUGAAGCAAACAUAUACCUGGAGAACGGUCUGCAUGAUUUACAGCAAUACUCAAGAAGGAACAACCUCGAACUAUCUGGGUUCGCAGAAUGUAGGGACAGCGAAGAAGAGGAAACCAAACUACAGGAAUUUUUUCAAGACCUGGGAGUAACCAUCCACACCGGAAACAUCGAGGCUGGCCACCGGAUACCGACCAAACGAAAGGAUA